AUUGAACGCUGGCGGCAUGCUUUACACAUGCAAGUCGAACGGCAGCACGGACUUCGGUCUGGUGGCGAGUGGCGAACGGGUGAGUAAUACAUCGGAACGUACCCAGUAAUGGGGGAUAACUAUCCGAAAGGAUAGCUAAUACCGCAUACGCCCUACGGGGGAAAGAGGGGGAUCGCAAGACCUCUUGUUAUUGGAGCGGCCGAUGGCUGAUUAGCUAGUUGGUAGGGUAAAGGCCUACCAAGGCAACGAUCAGUAGCGGGUCUUAGAGGACGAUACGCCACACUGGAACUGCGACACGGUCCAGACUCCUACGGGAGGCAGCAGUGGGGAAUCUUGGACAAUGUGCGCAAGCCUGAUCCAGCAAUGCCGCGUGCGUGAAGAAGGCCUUCGGGUUGUAAAGCGCUUUUGUCAGGGAGCAAAUCCUUGUGGCUAAUACCCACCGGGGAUGAGAGUACCUGAAGAAUAAGGACCGGCUAACUACGUGCCAGCAGCCGCGGUAAAAC
rnacentral:rRNA from 1 species